GAGCUCUACAUUUUCAUUUUAAUGGCUAUGUAUAUUGGCAUUCCACUGUGUGGAUGUACAUCAUCCAGGUUCAUGUGAAGUGUCCAGCUGACUGCAGUCACGCAAGAGAUUCUAGUGAAGAGGAAGAACCAUGUGAAGAGGAAGAACCACCAACUGAGCCUGGCUAACUCUCAGAAUCAUGAAAAUAAAUAACUGAAACACUAAGAAUUCUGAGAGGAACUUCGUUAUACUCAGACCUUCAUCUGCUUUAGAGUCUCAGCUGAGAAUAACCGUAUCAUCUGUCAACUUCUGCAUUUGGAGAACCAAGAGUUAGAAGUGAGCUCCCACUUGUUAUGGUCUCUGAGUAAAUAGAGA